CAACCUGAACUCAGUCGUGAUUACCCGCUGAACUUAAGCAUAUCAUUUAGCGGGAGGAAAAGAAAACUAAAAAAGGAUUUCCCCUAGUAACGG
rnacentral:ncRNA from 1 species